GAAAAAAAAUAUUAUUCGAGUACGAACAACAGCAGAAAGUAUUCGAGCACUAAACAUACUUCACUAUCACAGUAUCACGUCUGUUUCGAUCUCUUGUUCUCUUUGCUCUUCCAAAGUUAAUCUAUGGGAACUGUGGUUGACGCUCAAAACAUGAAAUAUGGCAGGAAGGUGAUUGUUGUCUUUGUGUUAGGUGGUCCUGGCAGUGGGAAGGGUACACAGUGUGCCAAUAUUGUUCAGCACUUUGGAUACACUCAUCUGAGUGCUGGUGAUCUUCUGCGAGCUGAAAUUAAAUCUGGCUCUGAAAAUGGAACCAUGAUCCAGAGCAUGAUUAAGGAAGGAAAGAUUGUGCCUUCAGAGAUUACUGUUAAGCUUCUCCAGCAAGCGAUGCAGGAAAGUGGAAAUGAUAAGUUUCUUAUUGAUGGGUUCCCUCGCAAUGAAGAGAACCGUGAAACCUUUGAAUCUGUUACUGGUAUAGCACCAGAAUUUGUUCUUUUUUUUGAUUGUCCAGAAGAGGAGAUGGAGAAGCGUCUUUUAAGUAGAAAGCAGGGUAGGGAAGAUGAUAACAUGGAGACCAUCAGGAAGCGUUUCAAGGUAUACAUGGAGUCUAGUCUACCAGUUGUUGAGUACUAUAGCUCGAAGGGAAAUGUUAGAAAGAUUGAUGCAGUUAAACAAGUUGACGCUGUAUUUGAGGAUGUCAAAGCUAUAUUUAAUUCAACAAUAGAGAAGGUUGCUCCUUAUGAGGAUUUUCCAACAUCAUUGAAUACCAAGAUGCCAUAACUAUGUAACUUUACCGAGUAUUGCUUGGGAAGUAUUUAUAUGGGCCUUGGACGGGUACAGUUGGAAUUAUAUCUGAGGUUGUGAUGGGCUGUGCUUGCAAAAUGCUCCACUUUACUUAUUCCUUCUGUUUAUCGAUGGAAUUUUGGCAACGAGAAUAUGAACUAUGAAGCUAUUGCUCGUAGAACACAAUGCGUUAUAUGCCAGUCUUUUGUUGCUUUCUACUGUUUGAUGAUUUUGUAAUGGGUUUGAAUGCCUCUAAUAUGUUUUUUUGGUAUUGGCAAUCGUAUACGAAGCCUAAAGAAACCUUUUAAGUAAAAUAUGCUACGUAAUUUUUUUGGUAAAGCAAGAGUCUUACUCUGAUGUUGAUUAUAAUUACCUACUCUAUAAAAGUUGAUUUUUGUAUCCAA